rnacentral:rRNA from 1 species
GGCGGACGGGUGAGUAAUGCCUAGGAAUCUGCCUGGUAGUGGGGGACAACGUUUCGAAAGGAACGCUAAUACCGCAUACGUCCUACGGGAGAAAGCAGGGGACCUUCGGGCCUUGCGCUAUCAGAUGAGCCUAGGUCGGAUUAGCUAGUUGGUGGGGUAAUGGCUCACCAAGGCGACGAUCCGUAACUGGUCUGAGAGGAUGAUCAGUCACACUGGAACUGAGACACGGUCCAGACUCAUACGGGAGGCAGCAGUGGGGAAUAUUGGACAAUGGGCGAAAGCCUGAUCCAGUCAUGCCGCGUGUGUGAAGAAGGUCUUCGGAUUGUAAAGCACUUUAAGUUGGGAGGAAGGGCAGUAAGCUAAUACCUUGCUGUUUUGACGUUACCGACGGAAUAAGCACCGGCUAACUCUGUGCCAGCAGCCGCGGUAAUACAGAGGGUGCAAGCGUUAAUCGGAAUUACUGGGCGUAAAGCGCGCGUAGGUGGUUUGUUAAGUUGGAUGUGAAAGCCCCGGGCUCAACCUGGGAACUGCAUCCAAAACUGGCAGGCUAGAGUACGGUAGAGGGUGGUGGAAUUUCCUGUGUAGCGGGUGAAAUGCGUAGAUAUAGGAAGGAACACCAGUGGCG